CAGAGUUAUCUAACUCCCAAACCCAUGUGAACUUACCUUUGUUGCCUCGGCAGUAGUUGCUGGGCGAGCCUACCCGGGAACGAGCUACCCUGUAGCGAGUUACCCUGGAACGACUUACCCUGUAACGCCUGCCGGUGGACUACUAAACUCUUGUUAUUUUUAAGUAAUCUGAGCGUCUUAUUUUAAUAAGUCA
rnacentral:misc_RNA from 1 species